rnacentral:rRNA from 1 species
GACGAACGCUGGCGGCGUGCCUAAUACAUGCAAGUCGAACGAGAGCGACCGGUGCUUGCACUGGUCAAUCUAGUGGCGAACGGGUGAGUAACACGUGGAUAACCUGCCCAUCAGAGGGGGAUAACAUCCGGAAACGGAUGCUAAAACCGCAUAGGUCCUCGAACCGCAUGGUUUGAAGAGGAAAAGAGGCGCAAGCUUCUGCUGAUGGAUGGACCCGCGGUGCAUUAGCUAGUUGGUGAGGUAACGGCUCACCAAGGCCGUGAUGCAUAGCCGACCUGAGAGGGUGAUCGGCCACAUUGGGACUGAGACACGGCCCAAACUCCUACGGGAGGCAGCAGUAGGGAAUCUUCCGCAAUGGACGCAAGUCUGACGGAGCAACGCCGCGUGAGUGAAGAAGGUUUUCGGAUCGUAAAACUCUGUUGUUAGAGAAGAGCAAGUGCUAGAGUAACUGUUAGCGCCUUGACGGUAUCUAACCAGAAAGCCACGGCUAACUACGUG